rnacentral:rRNA from 1 species
GAUGAACGCUAGCGACAGGCUUAACACAUGCAAGUCGAGGGGCAGCGGGGGUGCAGGCUUGCCUGCACCUGCCGGCGACCGGCGCACGGGUGAGUAACACGUAUGGAACCUGCCCGCCACAGGGGGAUAACCCGGGGAAACCCGGCCUAAUACCCCAUGCCGCCCGGACCGGGCAUCCGGACCGGGCGAAAGGAGGAAUCCGGUGGCGGCUGGGCAUGCGGCGCAUUAGCUUGACGGCGGGGUAACGGCCCACCGUGGCGACGAUGCGUAGGGGUUCUGAGAGGAAGGUCCCCCACACUGGUACUGAGACACGGACCAG